rnacentral:snoRNA from 1 species
UGGCUAUGAAGAGAACUUAGACGUGAAUCACAGUGAUCGCUCUAUACGCUAUUCCGAGCCAACG